GAACGCUGGCGGCAGGCUUAACACAUGCAAGUCGAGCGCCCCGCAAGGGGAGCGGCAGACGGGUGAGUAACGCGUGGGAAUCUACCCUUUUCUACGGAAUAACGCAGGGAAACUUGUGCUAAUACCGUAUACGCCCUUCGGGGGAAAGAUUUAUCGGGAAAGGAUGAGCCCGCGUUGGAUUAGCUAGUUGGUGGGGUAAAGGCCUACCAAGGCGACGAUCCAUAGCUGGUCUGAGAGGAUGAUCAGCCACAUUGGGACUGAGACACGGCCCAAACUCCUACGGGAGGCAGCAGUGGGGAAUAUUGGACAAUGGGCGCAAGCCUGAUCCAGCCAUGCCGCGUGAGUGAUGAAGGCCCUAGGGUUGUAAAGCUCUUUCACCGGUGAAGAUAAUGACGGUAACCGGAGAAGAAGCCCCGGCUAACUUCGUGCCAGCAGCCGCGGUAAUACGAAGGGGGCUAGCGUUGUUCGGAAUUACUGGGCGUAAAGCGCACGUAGGCGGACAUUUAAGUCAGGGGUGAAAUCCCGGGGCUCAACCCCGGAACUGCCUUUGAUACUGGGUGUCUAGAGUAUGGAAGAGGUGAGUGGAAUUCCGAGUGUAGAGGUGAAAUUCGUAGAUAUUCGGAGGAACACCAGUGGCGAAGGCGGCUCACUGGUCCAUUACUGACGCUGAGGUGCGAAAGCGUGGGGAGC
rnacentral:rRNA from 2 species